rnacentral:rRNA from 1 species
UACGGAGGAUGCGAGCGUUAUCCGGAUUUAUUGGGUUUAAAGGGUGCGUAGGCGGGAUGCCAAGUCAGCGGUAAAAAUGCGGUGCUCAACGCCGUCGAGCCGUUGAAACUGGCGUUCUUGAGUGGGCGAGAAGUAUGCGGAAUGCGUGGUGUAGCGGUGAAAUGCAUAGAUAUCACGCAGAACUCCGAUUGCGAAGGCGGCAUACCGGCGCCCUACUGACGCUGAGGCACGAAAGUGCGGGGAUCGAACAGG